rnacentral:lncRNA from 1 species
GCCUGCAUAUGGUUAAAAAAAAAAGACAAUCCUAUAAAAUCAUAAAAAUUAAAUCUCAUCCUCUGUAAUACCUCUUAGCAGAAAUAACCACUAUUACCAGUUUCUUAUGAAUCCUUCCAAAGAUAUUUGCUGAAUACAUAGACACGUGUGUGAUGGGCGCAUCACACAGCGUGUGUGAUGGGCGAUACACAGCUGGCCUCCUUGUUUUCUACACAAAUGGCAGCAAACUACGUGCUUCUCUGCAUCUGUGUUAUUUUCAUUUUACUUAACAUAGCUAAGGAGAUUUUUAUGAUAUUAAUAUAUACAUCCACACUAUUUUUUUUUUGGCUGAAUCUUACUACCUCUUUUUAAAAACGUGCGAUUCAGCAAUUAUCUAUGUAUGUAUGUAUGUCUGUUUCUUUAUUGGCCCCCUUGCGAGGCAUAUGGGAUC